rnacentral:rRNA from 1 species
GGCCAAGUUUUUAAGGGCGCACGGUGGAUGCCUUGGCACCAGGAACCGAUGAAGGACGUGGGAGGCCACGAUAGGCCCCGGGGAGUCGUCAACCAGGCUUUGAUCCGGGGGUGUCCGAAUGGGGAAACCCGGCAGUCGUCAUGGGCUGUCACCCGCUGCUGAACACAUAGGCAGUGUGGAGGGAACGCGGGGAAGUGAAACAUCUCAGUACCCGCAGGAAGAGAAAACAACCGUGAUUCCGGGAGUAGUGGCGAGCGAAACUGGAUGAGGCCAAACCGUAUACGUGUGAGACCCGGCAGGGGUUGCGUGUGCGGGGUUGUGGGAUCUCUCUUCCACGGUCUGCCGGCCGUGGGGCGAGUCAGAAACCGUUGAUGUAGGCGAAGGACAUGCGAAAGGUCCGGCGUAGAGGGUAAGACCCCCGUAGUCGAAACGUCAGCGGCUUGCUUGAGAGACACCCAAGUAGCACGGGGCCCGAGAAAUCCCGUGUGAAUCUGGCGGGACCACCCGCUAAGCCUAAAUAUUCCCUGGUGACCGAUAGCGGAUAGUACCGUGAGGGAAUGGUGAAAAGUACCGCGGGAGCGGAGUGAAAUAGUACCUGAAACCGUGUGCCUACAAGCCGUGGGAGCGUCGGGAUGGAGCUUGCUUCAUCCUCGUGACUGCGUGCCUUUUGAAGAAUGAGCCUGCGAGUUUGCGGUGUGUUGCGAGGUUAACCCGGGUGGGGUAGCCGUAGCGAAAGCGAGUCCGAACAGGGCGUUUCAGUAGCACGCUCAAGACCC